UGUGUUAAAUUGCCGCUUUCAGCGAAAACAUCAAUUGGCACAAACGCCAACCGUGGCCGCUACUAAUGAAAGCCAAGGGCAGAACAGAGCAGAGCUGCGGCAGUAGCAUUUUAUCCACUUUACUCGCCAUUUAACCGAUGAUUGGAUCACAGCGGGCCCUCGAUUGCUGGCCCCAAAAGGCACAAUAUGGAGCACCCAAUGGGUAGCGAAAGGGCAGAAAAAAUCCAAAUGAAAGAGGAAAAUACUAAUGGCCACUGAUGGACGCAGCUUUUCAUUUGUGCUUAACAACUGCAGUCAUUACAUUACCAAGCUGUAGCGAAAUUUCGGCGAAAUAUGUAAUACGAUGAAAUCAUUUGAAAUAAAAAAAAAAAA